GAUGAACGCUGGCGGCGUGCCUAACACAUGCAAGUCGAACGGAGUCCAGCCUUAGAGACCUUCGGGUCAAAGAGGGGAAGACUGAGUGGCGGACGGGUGAGUAACACGUGGGCAACCUGGCUCAUAGAGGGGGAUAACAGAGAGAAAUUUCUGCUAAUACCGCAUAAGCACACACUGCCGCAUGGCAGAGUGUGAAAAGAGAAUCGCUAUGAGAUGGACCCGCGUCUGAUUAGCCAGUUGGCAGGGUAAGAGCCUACCAAAGCGACGAUCAGUAGCCGAUUUGAGAGGAUGAACGGCCACAUUGGGACUGAGACACGGCCCAAACUCCUACGGGAGGCAGCAGUGGGGGAUAUUGCACAAUGGGGGGAACCCUGAUGCAGCGACGCCGCGUGAGUGAAGAAGUAUUUCGGUAUGUAAAGCUCUAUCAGCGGGGAAGAUAAUGACAGUACCUGAAUAAGAAGCCCCGGCUAACUACGUG
rnacentral:rRNA from 1 species